GCUAUUUAUCCUUUGAGCACAAUUCCACAUUUUUGAGUUAUAUUUAGCUAGCAUUCCUUGUUGACCUGUUUUCUUGACUAUGAGCACAUCAGAAAGAGCCUUACCAUUUUCUGCCAUAAAUAAAUCCUUCAUUAGUUUCUUAAUCAGAUUCAAGAGCAAGGUGAGAGAAAGUGGCUGAGCAGGAGGUACUGUAAAGACACUCUUCAUCUCUCAUCUUCACGCUGGGCUAAGCUUCAAAUAUUUGCUGUCAAAAGGGAUCUGGUAGGGUAGUAAACCACUGCCUUAACUGAAACAUUGGGAUACAUGCUGGAAUUUUUUUAAGUCCAGAUUUGUACAAAGCAUUCUGUAUAUGUUUAUUAUAACAAGAUUGUUAAUUAUGUUCUUUUUAUAUCCUACUGAUUUUCUCUUGUCUGCUUGAGAGGUAAGUUAAAAACUCCUAUUUUUUUGAUGGAUGUGUCCAUUAUUAGUUGUAGAUUUCUUAAUCUUUGCUCUGUAGAUUUUUGAAGUUGGAUUAUUAGGUGCAUACAAAUUUAUAAUUGACAUUCAUUUCAAGAGAAGAAAUUUUAUCAUAAUAUAGUAAUUCUCUUUGGAUUUUUGUCUUAAAGCCUAUUUUAUUUUAUUUUAAAA
rnacentral:lncRNA from 10 species